AUUGAACGCUGGCGGCAUGCCUUACACAUGCAAGUCGAACGGCAGCACGGGAGCAAUCCUGGUGGUGAGUGGCGAACGGGUGAGUAAUAUAUCGGAACGUGCCCAGUCGUGGGGGAUAACGCAGCGAAAGCUGUGCUAAUACCGCAUACGAUCUCUGGAUGAAAGCGGGGGACCGUAAGGCCUCGCGCGAUUGGAGCGGCCGAUAUCAGAUUAGCUAGUUGGUGGGGUAAAGGCACACCAAGGCGACGAUCUGUAGCUGGUCUGAGAGGACGACCAGCCACACUGGAACUGAGACACGGUCCAGACUCCUACGGGAGGCAGCAGUGGGGAAUUUUGGACAAUGGGCGCAAGCCUGAUCCAGCAAUGCCGCGUGCAGGAUGAAGGCCUUCGGGUUAUAAACUGCUUUUGUACGGAACGAAACGGCGAGCUCUAAUAAAGUUUGCUAAUGACGGUACCGUAAGAAUAAGCACCGGCUAACUACGUGCCAGCCGCCGCAGUAA
rnacentral:rRNA from 1 species